rnacentral:rRNA from 1 species
GACGAACGCUGGCGGCGUGCUUAACACAUGCAAGUCGAACGGAAAGGCCCUGCUUUUGUGGGGUGCUCGAGUGGCGAACGGGUGAGUAACACGUGAGUGACCUGCCCUUGACUUUGGGAUAACUUCAGGAAACUGGGGCUAAUACCGGAUAGGAGCUCCUGCUGCAUGGUGGGGGUUGGAAAGUUUCGGCGGUUGGGGUUGGCUCGGCGGCUUAUAGGCUUGUUGGUGGGGUAGUGGCUUACCAAGGCGUUGAGGGGUAGCCGGCCGGAGGGGGGGACCGGCCACAUUGGGACGGGGAAACGGCCCAGACUCCUAGGGGGGGCAGCGUUGGGGAAUAUUGCACAAGGGGCGGAAGCCGAAUGCAGCAACGCCGGGUGCGGGAGGACGGCCUUCGGUUGUUAAACCGUUUUCGCCUGUGACGAAGCGUUAGUGACGGUAAUUGGUAAAGAAGCACCGGCUAACUACGUG